rnacentral:tRNA from 1 species
GGGCCAAUAGCUCAGUGGUAGAGCACCUGCUUUGCAAGCAGGGGGUCGGGGGUUCAAAUCCCCCUUGGUCCACCA